ACUGGGCCUGCGGUGCCGAUGAGAAAAUAGAUGCAGACACGGGUUGCCACUGGACUGCAUUCAAGAGAUGGGCAGUAGCGAACCCCUUCCCAUCGCAGAUGGUGUCAGGAGGAGGAAGAAGAAGCGGAGGGCCCGGGCCACUGACUCCUUGCCAGGAAAAUUUGAAGAUAUGUACAAGCUGACCUCUGAAUUGCUUGGAGAGGGAGCCUAUGCCAAAGUUCAAGGUGCCGUGAGCCUACAGAAUGGCAAAGAGUAUGCCGUCAAAAUCAUCGAGAAACAAGCAGGGCACAGUCGGAGUAGGGUGUUUCGAGAGGUGGAGACACUGUAUCAGUGUCAGGGAAACAAGAACAUUUUGGAGCUGAUUGAGUUCUUUGAAGAUGACACAAGGUUUUACUUGGUCUUUGAGAAAUUGCAAGGAGGUUCCAUCUUAGCCCACAUCCAGAAGCAAAAGCACUUCAAUGAGCGAGAAGCCAGCCGAGUGGUGCGGGACGUUGCUGCUGCCCUUGACUUCCUGCAUACCAAAGGCAUUGCUCAUCGUGAUCUGAAACCAGAAAAUAUAUUGUGUGAAUCUCCAGAAAAG
rnacentral:sRNA from 1 species